UACGUAGGGGGCAAGCGUUGUCCGGAAUCAUUGGGCGUAAAGCGCGCGUAGGCGGCCCGGUAAGUCCGCUGUAAAAGUCCAGGGCUCAACCCUGGAAAGCCGGUGGAUACUGUGAGGCUAGAGUACGGAAGAGGCGAGUGGAAUUCCUGGUGUAGCGGUGGAAUGCGCAGAUAUCAGGAGGAACACCAACGGCGAAGGCAGCUCGCUGGGACGGUACUGACGCUGAGGCGCGAAAGCGUGGGGAGCGAACAGG
rnacentral:rRNA from 1 species